GACGAACGCUGGCGGCGUGCUUAACACAUGCAAGUCGAACGAUGAAGCCUAGCUUGCUAGGUGGAUUAGUGGCGAACGGGUGAGUAAUACGUGAGUAACCUACCUUUAACUCUGGGAUAAGCCUGGGAAACUGGGUCUAAUACCGGAUACGACCAAUCUCCGCAUGGGGUGUUGGUGGAAAGCGUUAUGUAGUGGUUAUAGAUGGGCUCACGGCCUAUCAGCUUGUUGGUGAGGUAACGGCUCACCAAGGCGACGACGGGUAGCCGGCCUGAGAGGGUGACCGGCCACACUGGGACUGAGACACGGCCCAGACUCCUACGGGAGGCAGCAGUGGGGAAUAUUGCACAAUGGGCGCAAGCCUGAUGCAGCGACGCCGCGUGAGGGAUGACGGCCUUCGGGUUGUAAACCUCUGUUAGCAGGGAAGAAGAGAGAUUGACGGUACCUGCAGAGAAAGCGCCGGCUAACUACGUGCCAGCAGCCGCGGUAAUACGUAGGGCGCGAGCGUUGUCCGGAAUUAUUGGGCGUAAAGAGCUUGUAGGCGGUUUGUCGCGCCUGCUGUGAAGGCCGGGGCUUAACCCCGUGUAUUGCAGUGGGUACGGGCAGACUAGAGUGCAGUAGGGGAGACUGGAAUUCCUGGUGUAGCGGUGGAAUGCGCAGAUAUCAGGAGGAACACCGAUGGCGAAGGCAGGUCUCUGGGCUGUAACUGACGCUGAGAAGCGAAAGCAUGGGGAGCGAACAGGAUUAGAUACCCUGGUAGUCCAUGCCGUAAACGUUGGGCACUAGGUGUGGGGGACAUUCCACGUUUUCCGCGCCGUAGCUAACGCAUUAAGUGCCCCGCCUGGGGAGUACGGCCGCAAGGCUAAAACUCAAAGAAAUUGACGGGGGCCCGCACAAGCGGCGGAGCAUGCGGAUUAAUUCGAUGCAACGCGAAGAACCUUACCAAGGCUUGACAUAUACUGGACCGCAUCAGAGAUGGUGUUUCCCUUCGGGGCUGGUAUACAGGUGGUGCAUGGUUGUCGUCAGCUCGUGUCGUGAGAUGUUGGGUUAAGUCCCGCAACGAGCGCAACCCUCGUUCUAUGUUGCCAGCACGUUAUGGUGGGGACUCAUAGGAGACUGCCGGGGUCAACUCGGAGGAAGGUGGGGAUGACGUCAAAUCAUCAUGCCCCGUAUGUCUUGGGCUUCACGCAUGCUACAAUGGCCGGUACAGAGGGUUGCGAUACUGUGAGGUGGAGCUAAUCCCUAAAAGCCGGUCUCAGUUCGGAUUGGGGUCUGCAACUCGACCCCAUGAAGUCGGAGUCGCUAGUAAUCGCAGAUCAGCAACGCUGCGGUGAAUACGUUCCCGGGCCU
rnacentral:rRNA from 1 species